AUUGAACGCUGGCGGCAGGCCUAACACAUGCAAGUCGAGCGGAUGAAGGGAGCUUGCUCCUGGAUUCAGCGGCGGACGGGUGAGUAAUGCCUAGGAAUCUGCCUGGUAGUGGGGGAUAACGUCCGGAAACGGGCGCUAAUACCGCAUACGUCCUGAGGGAGAAAGUCGGGGAUCUUCGGACCUCACGCUAUCAGAUGAGCCUAGGUCGGAUUAGCUAGUUGGUGGGGUAAAGGCCUACCAAGGCGACGAUCCGUAACUGGUCUGAGAGGAUGAUCAGUCACACUGGAACUGAGACACGGUCCAGACUCCUACGGGAGGCAGCAGUGGAGAAUAUUGGACAAUGGGCGAAAGCCUGAUCCAGCCAUGCCGCGUGUGUGAAGAAGGUCUUCGGAUUGUAAAGCACUUUAAGUUGGGAGGAAGGGCAGUAAGUUAAUACCUUGCUGUUUUGACGUUACCAACAGAAUAAGCACCGGCUAACUUCGUG
rnacentral:rRNA from 1 species